rnacentral:tRNA from 1 species
GUUUUAAUAGUUUAAUAAAAACAAAGGUCUUGUAAACCUUAGAUGAAAUAAAUUUCUUAAAACU